AGAAAUUGUCAUACGUUAGCAGAAUUUGAACUGUGAAUGGAUCUUUUAUGAGUAAAUUUCAGAGAUGAAUAAGUUAUCAAAGAGAAAAAGUUUUAAUCGUCACCAGAGUGGCAUCAACUGCAAGCUUGACUUGGCCUUGCAUGACUGAAUGGGAAUGAGCUGUGACUCGGUUGGGUAUUGUUGGAUAUUUUAAUAAAAAUAUCAUUAUUAUUUUGAAUUCAUUCACAUGCUUAUUUUGAAUUCAAUUGCAAUAAGUUACAAAUUUUGAAAUGAAUUUUCAGUUAUAAGAGCACCAUUAAAAAGGGUAACCUAUGAGAUUUAUGUCUUGAAUUCAAAUGCAAUAAGUUACAAAAUUUGAAAUGAAUUUUCAGUUACAAGAUCACCUUUAAAAAGGGUAACCUAUGAGAUUUAUGUCUUGUUUUUGUAACCUAUGUGAUGAUUAGAUUUUAAGAAUUUUAUUUAUUGAAUUUUAACUAGUAUACAAUGCCCUAAACCUUUUCAAAUUUUGUAACUGAAAAAUAUAACACAUUUAUUCCAUUUAAUGGUGGCAUUCCUAUGCACCUAAAGCUUUAGCCUAUAAAUAGAGGUCACUAUCAACCAAGUUUCAUACACUUUUCUUGCUAUCUUAAAAAAACUAUCUUCCUCACUUCUAUUGGGCAUUAGUUAGGUGUUGAGAAGAGCUUUAGCUUCUCUAAAUUCUGUAGAUUUAGUAGAAGCAACAGCAUAGGCUGGGCUGUUGCAUCCCAGAGGCGACGUGCCAUCAACCUUCUACACCGGGCAUAAUCCCGAGAGGGGCGCGAAUCGUCUUAAGAGAGCGACCUAGUCCGCGCCUCACCUAGCCGAAAUUACUUUAUUUCUUUUCUUUGACUUUUGUUUUGCAGGUUGAUCGUGCAUAUCAAGUUCUAAAGGAACAACAAUUUAAGACGAUUCGGAGUACCAUGGAGGUUGCAAGCAAUGUUGCAAACGCUACCACUAUUGGAUCUAGUGAUCUCAACAAACCAUUUUGCUUUAGUGGCCAACAUUUCAAAAGGUGGGCCAAGAAAGUGAUGUUCUAUUUGAAGCUAAUGAAGGUUGCCUGGGUCUUAGCCACAAAGAAUCCAAAAAAGAUAGACACCAAUUCCAUGAUUGAUGAAGAAAGGGAGAAUCAUGCCAAACAACUUCAAAAAUGGGAAAAUGAUGAGGAAGAUUGCAGAAAUUAUAUCCUUAAUUGUUUGUCUGAUGAACUUUAUGAUUUUUAUUCUUCAUCUUAUACUUCAGCAAAAAGAAUUUGGAGAGCAUUGCAACAAAAAUAUGAUACUGAAGAAGCAGGCUCGAAAAAAUAUGCUUGUAGCCGUUAUUUCAAGUUUUAAAUGGUGGAAAACAAGCCAGUACUAGAGCAAGUUCAUGACUUGCAAAUGAUCGUCCAUGAGAUUGAAUCUGAAGGAGUCAAAGUCGAUCCGCAAAUGCAAGUUGCAGCCAUCAUUGACAAACUUCCAACAUCAUGGAAAGAUUUUCAGAAAGGGCUACGUCAUAAGCAACAAGAAUUGACAAUAGCAAAUCUGAUGGCAAGGUUGCGCAUUGAAGAAGAAGCUAGAAAACAAGACAAAGGUGAAGAGUUCAAUGGGAGUACUAAGGUGUAAACUUCCUAACUUCUAGUGAGAAUGUCUCUAAGGGUCAACAAGACAAAAAUAACGCCUAUUUGAAGCCUAGAGGGAAGAAUAUGAAAAACAAGUUUUCAAAAAAUUAUUUUAACCAAAAAAAGUCAAAUCAAGGACCCCCUUCAAAACAAGUUUCAAAUACUCCAAAUUUUGGAAAUAAUAUGAAUAAUAGAGCUUGUUUUGUUUGUGGAAAAUUGGGUCAUCGUGCAAAAAAUUGUUGUUUUAGAAAAUUUGGACCAAAUUUUAAGCCACAAGCUAAUGUGACUCAACUAAUUGAAGAGUCAUUUGUGGCUAUGGUUUCUGAAAUCAAUUUUGUUGGAAAUACUGAAGGGUGGUGGGCUGAUUCUGGUGCCUCUAGGCAUGUUUGCUAUGAUAGAACUUGGUUCAAAAGUUAUUCUCCUAUUGAAAAAGAAACAAAAGUUUUGCUAGGAGAUUCACAUACAACCAAUGUUCUAGGCAUGGGCGAAGUUGAACUAAAGUUUACUUCUGGGCGUGUCUUGACCCUAAGAGAUGUUCUUCACGUUCCUGAAAUUAGGAAGAACUUGGUUUCUUGCUAUCUUCUUAAUAAGGCUGGUUUUAAGCAGUCUAUAGAGUCUGAUCAAUAUGUGCUUACAAAGAAUGGUACUUUUGUUGGAAAAGGUUAUGCUUGUGAUGGUAUGUUUAAACUUAAUGUUGAAAUGAAUGAAAUUUCUACUUCUGCUUAUAUCGUUUCUUGUAUAAAUAUGUGGCAUGCACGUCUUUGUCAUAUAAAUAGCAAAUACUUAAAAUAUAUGAGCCACAUAGGGUUAAUUCCAAAAUUGCAUAAUGAGUUUGAAAAUUGUGAAUAUUGUAGCAUGACUAAAAUAACUAAACAACCUCAUUUGAAAGUUGAAAGAAAAACAGAGUUAUUAGAAUUAAUACAUUCUGACAUUUGUGAAUUUGAAAGCAUAUUAACACGUGGAGGUAAAAGAUAUUUUAUCACAUUUAUAGAUGAUUUUUCAAAAUAUUGUUAUGUCUACCUUAUGAAACAUAAAAGUGAGGCUUUUGAGAAAUUUACUAUUUUUGUUAAAGAGGUUGAAAAUCGUUUUGAGAGAAAAAUCAAAAGAUUUAGAACAGAUAGAGGAAAAGAAUAUGAUACUAUUGGCCUUAUAAAUUUUAUCAAAUCAUUAGGAAUAAUACAUGAGGUUACUCCACCAUAUUCACCUCAAUCAAACGGUGUGGCUGAAAGAAAAAAUAGAUCUUUGAUAGAUUUAAUAAAUGCUAUGUUAGCAAAUUUGAGUGCACCUAAAAAUUUAUGGGGUGAAGCUAUUUUAACAGCUAAUUAUACUUUAAAUAGAGUACCACGUAAAAAAGAUUUAAUAACUCCUUAUGAAUUAUGGAGGAACAAAAAACCCAAUAUUGAAUAUUUUAGAGUAUGGGGUUGUUUAGCGUAUGUAAGAAUUUCCGAUCCAAAAAUUCCAAAAUUAGGAAUAAAAGCAACUAGAUGUACAUUUAUUGGAUGUUCUUUAAACAAUAAAGCAUAUAGAUUUCUAGAUCUAGAAAAUAAUGUAGUAAUUGAAUCUCUAGAUGUAAUUUUUCAUGAAAAUAAAUUUCCAUUUAAAGAUAGUGGGGGUAUAAAAUUGAAUGAAUAUAGUGAAAAAUCCGAAGAAGCUAGUUCUUCUAAUGCUAAAGGUUCAACUAGAGGAAAAGAGCAAUUGAGAACCAGUAAAUGUGAGGAUUCACAAAAUUCAUUUAUUUUAAAAACCCUAUUUCGAGCUUAUUUAACAUGUAAUUGUCCAUUUAUUCCGAAUAUCAUUUUCUAGCCCUAUUGAACUUAAUUACAUGGAAGUAUAGCUUCAAAAUAUUUUUAAAGUGACUCGUUUAAAAAAAAAAAUUAGUCCCCGAAAGCGCGUUUAGUGAAAUUAGUGAAAAAGUAUUUGGAAAUUUUAACCGUUGGAGAGUACAAUAAGUUUCGAACAUUGGAGACUUGUACUAUGGACCUAAAUUAGGUAUUUUAAAGUUUAAGUACUCAGGUGAUAGUUAGUAGUACUAUCGUUAUAAGAAUUUUUUGGAAGUUUCACUUUAUCGCGCUUAAAUUGGAAUUCGCAUUUUUGCGCGCACGAUUAAUUGGGAAACUAUAAACCUUCAUUUUAAAUCUUUAAGAGUGGAUAAUAAUAGUAUGAAUAUAAGUAUAUUGGAGGUUUAGUGCACUAGUGAAAUGAACGCGAGAGGAUUUGAGCACAAAACGCGCGCGUACGCGCAUUAUUGAAGAGUUGACUUUUACACCAAUUCUAGCCACACAAAUGAAGCUUCCUUAGGAAGCCAAAUUGGAUCAAAACACUCUCUCUCUUCCUCACAAAGUGGCCGGCCAUCAGCUGUAAAAAUAACCCAAGGAGUUCUUCAUUUUUCAUCUUUAAUCUUGCACAAAUCUUCUCCAAUUCCUUCCAAAUUUCACACACACUUAACUUAAUACUUGGAGAUCAUCUUAAGCUACAAAAAGGGGGAGCUUUCCACAGUUUUCUUGAGCUAAGAGAGGGCCGAAAUUCUACCUUGUUCACCAACACAAGUAAGUGACGAUCAACCCUCAAAUUCUUGACCUAUGGAAGUUGAUUUACACUUAUGAGCUUAGAUAUUUAUGUGGGUGGCUUGUUAUUGUUGGAAAAAUUUUGAAUGUGGGCUCUAUGAACUCCCACUCUUGGAUUGAUGGCUGAUGUGAUGCUUGAUGAUGGAUCUAAUGUUGGUUUAGUGCUCAAAUUGGUAGAUUAAUGGUGCAUAGCUAGUAUAAACUUCAAGGAGUGCAUGGAUGUAAAGUUUUCAAUUCUGCCCCUGUUAUGAUCGUGCCUCUUUUUGCAGAAUUUUGAGGUUUUAAUGGUUUGCAUAUGAUGUUUAUAUGUUGUAUAGAUGGUGUACAAAGUUUCAUCAAAAAAUAUUGAGGUUUGGUUGGUCAAAUGGAUUAAUCUCGCAAAGCUAGCAAACCUGGAAAAUUUCCCAGUAAUGCUCAGACAGCCUUAUUGUUUCAUCCAUAACUCUGUACUUCGAUGUCAAAAUCAAGUGCCGUCAGUGGAAUUUGAAACUAGACAUUCCCAGAUUUCCAACGGUAUAAAAUUCACCCCCUAAUUCCACCCGAGUAUCCCGUAUCAACCGUUUAAAGAUGACUGUCAUGUUUCUCUGUUUUCCUGGAACGAAGUUCAGAAGCUGCAACUUGAGGCUCGAAUUUGAGCUAGUUGUGUGCUGAAUUUCAAAACAAUUUCUUCUGUCAAAUUAUAUUUUUAUGAAUGUAUUUUUCAAUGCCACCAACCAUGCUCAAUUCCGAGUUGAAUUGAGUGAUUUGUGAUCGAAAUACGAAACCUGCCCUGUUCUUGAAAACCCUAAAUUUUGGGCAGAAUUGAUGCUAGACUUGGUGUGGACUUGCCAAUUGAAUUUCUUGGAGUUAAAACACUUACCAAAUGUACCAUGAAUGUUCUUUAGGCUUUGCUUGCACAAAUGAACCAUGUCUGAAGGAUUUUCCUUGGCCAAAUGUUUGGAAAUGGAAAACAAGAAGCUCAAGGUAGUUUUGCUUUAGGAUUUUUCGAAACUUUGGUUGUUGGGUUGACUACCUUCCCGAAGGUAUUUUUCCAUGAAAUUUGAUAGAGGGAUACCCUUUAUAUAGGAGUAUUAUAUUGCCAAAUUUGGUACCAAUCCGAGUCCAUUUCACUGCUCGACUAAAUUACCAAAGUUCAUGACUCAAGUUUGGAAAACCCUUGUUUCACAAGGGAAUUUUGGUAACUUUGAGUUGCCUUAUCUUAGUGCUCAAAACUCCGUUUCUCAUUCCACUUGUUUUGUUGUAAACUUGGAUUGCAACUUUAAUAGAGUUCCAAAUUUCAAAGGCUAGUUCCAAUCAAGUGAAUUUUUCCGAAUUUUCAAAGUUGGCCAAAAACCAACUUAAAUCUGCCUUAUGAACCAAAACAGCGACUUUGAGCUCAUUUUUUAAUAUUCUCCAUUUGGAAUCUUAGUAAAGUAUAUUCUAGGAACUUUUAGUACUUUGGAAGAAAUUUCCAACGGUACCAAGUUUUCCAAUUUUCGACAUGUGGAAUGUGAGAUACGAUUUUUCAAAAUAUCGUAUCAAAACUGAAAUUUUUCCGAAUUUCAAGGAAAUGGAGUUUUUCAAGUAUUCCUUAUUCCUUCGAUAGCACUUGAACGUUUAUGCUUGAUUUCCAAGAAAAAAAAACUCGAUUGCUCUUGUACUUUAAGAAACUCCACUUAAAUCUCGAUUUACGAGUAAUUGAGUUUCAUUUUCAUGAAAUUUCCCUAGAUUGUACUAGUGCACAAUCUUCCUUGAUAAUUGGGAUGUGUGAAUGAUAAUUCACUAUUAUUUGCUCAGGCGCACACGAGGACCUUCAAGAGGAUCCCACGGUGGAAGCUUGAACCUCCAAGUGACACUUUUGUUAUUGACUCACAGUGAGUGUCAAGUGUGUGUAUUAUGUGAUAUAUCUGCAAAGUGAUAAGUGUUAUAUAAACUGAGAUUUUGAAACCUUUGAGUCGAGUGUGUACUUUAUCGCACUCGUCCUCAUUUAAACGAAGUGAACUUGAGUUCGUGAAGUGAAGUGAUUACCUGUUUAAAGUAACUUGUUAAGUGAAUAUAUGUGAAGUGUUUAAGUGAUUAUUUAUGCUGUGAUUGCAUAAGUCGUUGGAGUGAACCUCCUCGAUACAAAAGUGUAAAAGUUGGGGACGCCCAAACUCUCUUAUUGGCUAGCCUUGGACUCGAGCCAGCAUGGGCUUGGUUGAGCUCCUCAGUGAACCAUGAGAUUUCAUAAGCUCGACCUAUUGAGAGGUCUUGCUUGGCAUACUCGCUAAAGUAUCGCCUCAUAAAUGUAUUGCGGACCCGGUGUGGUAUGUAAGGUUGAGAAGGGGAAGUGUAAGUGAUGUUUCUACGGAUUAAACCUACCCGGUUGACGGAGUGUCAACGCGUGGAGGUUCGUGAUCGUGCAAGUGGAAAAUAGCUCCUGAGAGCUCCCAUAUCCUUGAAUUAUUUCUGUUUACUUUUCAGUGAAGUGCUCUUUAUUGAAUGGUUAUUUUUUUAAAUUAAUUAAUUUGGGAGUGUUACUUGAACUACGUGCUUGCAUGUGUGUUCUUGGCCUCACGAGCGUUUUGCUCACCCUAUAAGAUUUGUUUUCCUUAACAGCAGUGGACAUGGGUUGAGUCAUGGAAGAACCUUUUUGUGAUAUUUUGUAAUAGGGCCCCAGUGUUAGUGGCCAAGUAUUGUGGCUACGAAAAAAUUUUGGUAUUUGGGAUGUAUUUUGGAAACCCAUUGUAAGGAUUGAAUAAUGGCUAUGUGUUGUUAAGUUUGAAAAUUUCCGCACUAUUUGCAAUUACUUUAUCUGGUUGUAAUUUAGUGUUGUAUUAAGCUUGGAUGGGAAAUUGCAUGAGUCCUGGCGAGAGCUGGGCAAGCGUCCCACGAAUACCCUUUGGUUCGCCUUAGAGAGAAGUGGGGGCGUCACAGUAAAAGGAAAAGGACACAAAAAGAUUUUGGUCCUGAUUUUCAAACUUAUAAUGUAGAGGGGGAUCCUAUAACUAUUUCUGAAGCUUUAUCAUCUUUUGAUUCUUAUUUUUGGAGAGAAGCAAUUAAUGAUGAAAUGGAAUCUUUAAUGUCUAAUAAAACUUGAAAAUUAGUUGAUUUACCUCCAGGUUGUAAAUGGAUAUUAAGGAAAAAAUUUAAACCUGAUGGCACUAUAGAUAAAUAUAAAGCCAGGCUUGUUGCAAAGGGUUUUAAGCAAAAAGGAGAGAUAGGUUUCUUUGAUACUUUUUCACCAGUUACAAGAGUGACUUCUAUACGACUUUUAAUAGCUAUAGCAGCAAUUCAUGAAUUAAAAAUACAUCAAAUGGAUGUCAAAACAGCCUUUCUUAAUGGUGAUUUAAAUGAAAAGAUUUAUAUGGAUCAACCCGAAGGAUUUAUUCAACCUGGUUUAGAAAAUGAAGUUUGUAAAUUGAAUAAAUCUUUAUAUGGACUUAAACAAGCACCUAAACAAUGGCAUGAAAAAUUUGAUCAGUGUGUAUUGACUAAUGGCUUUAGGUCAAAUGAAAGUGAUAAGUGCAUUUAUUAUAAAUCAUUUGGAGACUCUCAUGCGAUAAUUUGUUUAUAUGUUGAUGAUUUAUUGAUAUUUGGGACUAAUAUGCAAGUAAUUGAGGUUACAAAAGCAUUACUUAAAAGUAAUUUCGAAAUGAAAGACUUAGGCGAAGCUAAUGUCAUACUUGGUAUGAAAAUUACAAAAAAUUCAGAAGGAAUUUUUAUUGAUCAAUCUCAUUAUAUUGAAAAAAUAUUUAAAAAAUAUAAUUAUUUUGAUUGUACACCAGUUUGUACACCCUUUGAUUCUCAUGUGUGUUUAUUUCCUACUAAAAAUGAUUUUGAUGUGAUAAAUCAAAAAGAGUAUGCUAGUAUAAUUGGUAGUUUGAGAUAUGCAACUGAUUGUACCAGACCUGAUAUUGCAUAUGCGGUUGGUGUACUUAGUAGGUUUACUAGUAAACCCAACAUUACACAUUGGAAUGCAAUUCAUAGAAUCAUGAGAUAUCUUAAGAGAACUUUAGAUUAUGGUCUAUUUUAUAAAAAAUAUCCUGCUGUACUUGAAGGUUUUAGUGAUGCAGAUUGGAGUUCACAAUCCAAUGAUUCUUUGUCCAAUACUGGUUAUUUAUUUACAUUGGGAGGUGGAGCCAUUUGUUGGCGAUCCAAAAAACAACACAUAAUCGCAAAGUCCACCAUGGAAGCAGAGUUAAUUGCUCUUGCUUCUGCAUGUGAAGAAGCAGGUUGGUUACGUGAUUUACUAUCUGAAAUUCCAAUGUGGAAUAAGCCGAUACCUCCUGUUUUAAUACAUUGUGAUAGUACCGCUGCUAUUGGCAGAGUUCACAAUAAAUAUUAUAAUGGAAAAUCCAGAUCUAUAAGGAGAAAACACAGUACUGUGAGAUCAUAUUUAAAUAAUGGUUCAUUAACCAUUGAUUUUGUGAGAUCAGGCGAUAAUCUUGCCGAUCAACUUACAAAAGCUCUAGCUAGAGAAAAGAUCUGGAAAGCAUCAAGAGAGAUUGGAUUAAAGCCCAAAAAUGUAAAAGCUACCUAUGAGGAUACAACCACCUAGGGAUUUCCUAUCCCAAAAACUAGGUUGGAGACAAACGAAUCAUAGAGUCGCUUGUUGUGAUACAUGCAAAUUUUUAGUCCAAUCAUAUGAUUAUGCAUGUAAUUCUGUGACGAAUAUGAGAGGUUGAGAACUAAUCUCUUAAUGAGUUCUAUAGCCCUUAUGGGUGGGAUGUGUUAGUCACAGAAAUAUCCUUGAUAGACUCACCUAUAUGAGUGUAAGGGUGUGGCCGCCCUUAUGAGAAUUUGGGCUAAUUCUCUAGAGCACUCAUGAACACUGGGGUAAAGUACAUGGCCAUAAUGUACUGGCUUGAAAAGCUCGGUUAAGAACACCUAUAAUGUCAUGUGUGUUAAGUUUUCUACGUAUCCUCAAGUAAUCAUAGUUUAAAGGCUAAGUCCACUAUGAUUCUAAUACGGGAAAACUGAAACACUAAGUGGAAGUUUAAAGGCAUUGCCACUUUCACAAGGCAUGAUGUUCUCACUAUAUGCCCAAACUAUUUUUAUUAAAAUAAGUGGGGGAUUGUUGGAUAUUUUAAUAAAAAUAUCAUUAUUAUUUUGAAUUCAUUCACAUGCUUAUUUUGAAUUCAAUUGCAAUAAGUUACAAAUUUUGAAAUGAAUUUUCAGUUAUAAGAGCACCAUUAAAAAGGGUAACCUAUGAGAUUUAUGUCUUGAAUUCAAAUGCAAUAAGUUACAAAAUUUGAAAUGAAUUUUCAGUUACAAGAUCACCUUUAAAAAGGGUAACCUAUGAGAUUUAUGUCUUGUUUUUGUAACCUAUGUGAUGAUUAGAUUUUAAGAAUUUUAUUUAUUGAAUUUUAACUAGUAUACAAUGCCCUAAACCUUUUCAAAUUUUGUAACUGAAAAAUAUGACACAUUUAUUCCAUUUAAUGGUGGCAUUCCUAUACACCUAAAGCUUUAGCCUAUAUAUAGAGGUCACUAUCAACCAAGUUUCAUACACUUUUCUUGCUAUCUUAAAAAAACUGUCUUCCUCACUUCUAUUGGACAUUAGUUAGGUGUUGAGAAGAGCUUUAGCUUCUCUAAAUUGUGUAGAUUUAGUAGAAGCAACAGCAUAGGCUGGGCUGUUGUAUCCCAGAGGCGACGUGCCAUCAACCUUCUACACCGGGCAUAAUCCCGAGAGGGGCGCGAAUCGUCUUAAGAGAGCGAUCUAGUCCGCGCCUCACCUAGCCGAAAUUACUUUAUUUCUUUUCUUUGACUUUUGUUUUGCAGGUUGAUUGUGCAUAUCAAGCUCUAAAGGAACAACAGGUAUCAUAUCUGGAUACUGGCAUAACUGUUUCAAAAGCUUCAACAAGCAAUGCAACCUUCUUCUUGCGCGCUGGACCAAGUUUGUUGACUGCCUUUUG
rnacentral:lncRNA from 1 species